AGUCCAAGCCCGUCCACCCUGGUCAUCCCUGAUCUCUGCUGCUAAGUAGGAUUGGCCCUGGUUAGUACUUGCAUGGGAGACCACAUGAGAAUCUCUAUAUGCAGCCACUUGGGCUG
rnacentral:rRNA from 1 species